rnacentral:rRNA from 1 species
GACGAGCUUUAUCCCGUGCACGCCGGCGCCUCCACUUCCACACCCGUCGCUCUCUCCGUCGGCGUCGACCUUUGGCAUGCUCGCUUGGGCCACCUCAACCCUGCCGUUUUGCGUCAGAUUCUUAGAAGUUUUUAUUUCUCAUGUAAUAAGCUCGACGAGCAUACUUGUGGGGCUUGUCGUUUGGGCAAGCACGUGUGCCUUCCCUUUACUGCGUCUACUUCAGUUUCCACUUUUCCGUUUCAGUUGAUUCAUAGUGAUGUUUGGACGUCUCCCGUUGCGAGUAACACGGGCUAUCUAUACUAUUUGGUGAUUUUAGAUGAUUACUCUCAUUAUGUGUGGACUUUUCCUCUUCGUCGUAAAUCCGAUGCUUUAGCCACACUCACCACCUUUUAUUCCUACAUCACCACUCAGUUUGGUCGCCCCAUACUUGCACUCCAAACUGAUAACGGAAAAGAGUUUGAUAACGUCGCUCUUCGCUCACUUCUCGCCUCUCACGGCACCACCUUGCGUCUGACUUGCCCCUACACUUCACAAAAGAACGGCCGCGCCGAGCGCAUUUUCCGCACUCUUAAUGACUGCAUUCGCACGUUUCUCUUUCACGCUAACGUGCCCGCUCGGUUCUGGCCCGAUGCCCUCGCCACCGCCUCUCUCUUAGUCAACAUUCGUCCGUGUCGUCCCCGGUGGAACUACGCCCCUCACCACCUUCUUUUCGAUACACCACCGUCCUAUGAUGGUCUUCGCAUAUUUGGGUGUCUUUGUUAUCCCAGCACCGCAUCCACCACGCCACACAAGCUUGCACCCCGCUCUGCCCCAUGCAUCUUCCUUGGCUACCCUCCCAACACCAAAGGUUACCGGUGCUAUGAUCCUGUCACUCAUCGUGUGUACACCUCGAGGCACGUGUAC